UGCAUUCACUACUGUAAGUCACUCUGGAUAAGAGUGUCUGCUAAAAGACUAAAA
rfam:Salmo salar isolate Sally breed double haploid chromosome ssa27, whole genome shotgun sequence.